rnacentral:rRNA from 1 species
GGCCGGUAAAAAAAACCCAACGGGGAAUUGCCCUAGUAACGGCGAGUGAAGCGGCAACAGCUCAAAUUUGAAAUCUGGCUCUCGGGCCCGAGUUGUAAUUUGUAGAGGAUACUUUUGAUGCGGUGCCUUCCGAGUUCCCUGGAACGGGACGCCAUAGAGGGUGAGAGCCCCGUCUGGUUGGAUGCCAAAUCUCUGUAAAGUUCCUUCGACGAGUCGAGUAGUUUGGGAAUGCUGCUCUAAAUGGGAGGUAUAUGUCUUCUAAAGCUAAAUACCGGCCAGAGACCGAUAGCGCACAAGUAGAGUGAUCGAAAGAUGAAAAGCACUUUGAAAAGAGAGUUAAAAAGUACGUGAAAUUGUUGAAAGGGAAGCGUUUAUGACCAGACUUGGGCUUGGUUAAUCAUCUGGGGUUCUCCCCAGUGCACUUUUCCAGUCCAGGCCAGCAUCAGUUUUCGCCGGGGGAUAAAGACUUCGGGAAUGUGGCUCUCUUCGGGGAGUGUUAUAGCCCGUUGUGUAAUACCCUGGCGGGGACUGAGGUUCGCGCAUCUGCAAGGAUGCUGGCGUAAUGGUCAUCAACGACCCGUCUUGAACAACGGACGCAAACGG